CAGUCACGUGGGGAGGGGGGUUAGCACCAGCCAGCAUGAGGCACCCAGGGCUCAAUAGCCACCUGCUGGAGACUAGCUUCCUCCUCAAGCAGGAGACCAAGGGCUCUGUGACCUGGCAUGAGCACCCCCCACUACCUCCCCCAGACAGAAGCCACAGAUGUUUGGCACCACGCCCUGCUUGGCACCUGCAGUAAGUAGGGAGGCAUCAUCCUCAGCCCCUAGAAGCCCUCGUUUCCAGGGGUAAACGGGCCUGCUCGUCACAAAGAAAAUCCCACUGGGAACACACUCCAGAAUUUUCCCUAGGCCUUCUUGGUUGCUCCACUGCCUCUACCCUCAGCCUCAUCCACAGCAAGUGUAAUGAUCCCCCACCUUAAUCCUUGCACAACCCUGCCUCACCCUGUUGAAGCACAGCUCCCCCUUAGAUGGUCACCCAAUACCUGCCCCCCAAGGGUUGGAAGUAGAUUGUUAAGAACAUCCCAGCAUGCCCACGUUGGCACAUUCCCAAGGUCCCCUGUACCCUACCAAGUUCUACCCACAGGCUGGGCUGGAAGAAACGCUGGUGAUUGUUCACUCUCAUCCCUGCGAGCGGGCAUCUGGCUCAUUCUGGAGCCCAGCCAGGUUGCUAGACCAGGAGGAACAAUCGCUCUGAACUAUCAGCCACAACAACCAGGCCUCCUCGGAGCAGGCUGGCCGGCCCACGCUAAUCCCUCAGGCUUGCUGCACCCUUGGCUACCAAGUUUUUGCCCCAUGCCACCCCUUGGGUGGAGCUUGGGCCACUGGGAAAGGCAAGCUCCUUCACUUCAGCAGCGGAUAAAAGGCCUGGGAGAGCCAGGAGAGCUGGAAAGUGUGUUUGCAGAGGAAGGCCCACGGAGACUCUGUCCUGACACGGGGGCUGGGAAGACCUUAGCGAUGGCCGGCGGGGGAGGGAGCACCUUGGACUGCCUGAGGCAGCCCUCCUCCCCGCAGCCCUCCUGGAGUGGUGCUGGUGGACUCCAGGCCAGGAGGAUGGAGCCUGGCUGGAGAAGGAGGGCACGGGGUGAGCACCACAGUUAGGUACAGGGACUCCAACAAGGGAGGAGCAGAGGUACCCCCCUCCUAGCUGCGCCAGCCCCACAAGGGCCACCGUCACCACCUGCCAUCACGUCACAGAGCUGGCAGGAAGCAACUGGGUGUGAUCUUAUAAACCACUCUGACAAGGAAAUGAGUAGCUUGGGGUCCAGCACAAAGCACUCCUAAAAGGAGUGGGAGACCGCAGCCACCAGCUGUGAGCUUACUCCUGAGCAAUGAGCAAGGGAUUCAAAGCCUUGGUUUAGUUUUGUCACCAAUUACUAAUUUGCUUUAGUCAAAAGAUGAGGUUCGCUGUCCCAUUUCUUUCCAAUGGAAGCCCCCUGGCCAAGACAGACCUGGAUGUCAAUUUAAUUUUGGUUGGGGGAGAAUAAGUAGGGGGAGUUGAGGGCUGACUUGACUGGUGCCUAGAGUUGCAGGUCAGUAUCACAGGUUGCUAACAGAAGAAUCUUUUGACAUCACCAGGGGCAAAAGAGAUAGAACGCUACCUGCUAGAGGAGAGCACCUGCUAAAAUGAAACCUCCUCCUCUUCCUGCCUUCAGCACCUAGCAACUUCUGGGAUUGACAGUCUACCUGCAAUCAGGGCAACAGAGGUAAAGAGCUGCAGGGCCGACUCCACAAAGUCCUGAAUCCUGGGGAGAAUCGCACUGGGAGCUCCCUGGCUGUGUGUGUGAGUGCAUUUGUUAUGCAUCGGUAGAGAAAUAUGUUCCCAUGUUUGCGUGUGGGACUGAUUGAUUGGUGUGGGGCUUAUGUCUGCACGGGGCCUGAGGCUCAGCAUUCUGAGCUCCCUUCCCCCGCUCCCCACAACAUAAUAUUUCUUAUACGUGACCCUAUCUAUGUAUUUAUAUAGCGCCUAUCACCAUAGGCCCUAUCUUUCUAGGGAUGCGAACUUGAGACCAUGUGCUUGACAGCACACCUCCCAGCCCUGCCAGUCCCAGGAGGUGCCAUCCCCCCUCCCAUUAUAAAAUAUAUAUCUCUAUAUGCCACAUAUCUACACCCCAUCUAUCCAGGCAAGCAUCUGCCCAUUGGCCCGCACCCCGGAGCCACCAAUGCUGUCCCUGCCUACCGUCAACGCCAGGCGGCCUGCCUCGGUAGGAAGUGGAACCAAGUGUCUGCACUUGGGGCUCCAGGUGCUGCUGACGCGAGGUAAGGGGACAGCUAUCAUCAGACCAAGUACUAGAAAAGAAAACACACCACUCCAACCACACACACGCGGAGAGACACCCGGCCCUCCCUCCAGCCCUGACACACGUGACUCGAGAGGAGGGGAAGUAGAAGAGAAGAGGGACGCGCCCGGAAGGCCGGCCUCGGGGGACUCCCCAGUUGCCCAGCUGUAACUGCACCCAGUGGCCCACCUGGCCCGAGGGGUGGGGAGCCAGGGCACCAGGGCCACCACUAACUUAGAAGCACCCUGCUCCCCGCACCUUGGUUUGAAACCUAAAGGGAGGGGGGGUUGGGUUUUUGUUUUCUUAAAGAAAAUCUGAAAACAAACAUAAUUAUAACCAGAACUAUAAGAAUAAUUAUAACAAAAGAUGUCAUCAGCCUCCCAGUAUAAAACUGCAGCCUUUGGAGAUGACCAAAAACAUCACAUUCCAGGGGCCGGAAGCCGCCUUGUGCACAGAGGGUGGAUGGUGGGGGCCUCAUAAAAGAACACACAAAAGGCGACUUAGACAGGAAAGCACCAGUACGUUUUGUAUGUUUUUUUAUUUGCUCCAGGUGGGGUUUGAACUGUCACUUUCCCCGCACUCUGGAUUAUCUCUGAUCCCACCACAAGGAGCCCUCGAAUCGGCUAAUGUGAGAAAUUGGGAAUGAGACCCCUUAUCCUGCCAUCUUGCCGAGGGAGUCUCCUUUUUGAGAAAAAUCAAAAGGUUAUUGCGUGAGCCUGGAUGAAUUCCACCUCAGCUUUCCACCGUCCCGACCACCUCAUCUUACUACCCCUUUUUUUUGGCAGGGAGAAACGGGAGAAUGCUGUUCCCAAGUUCUCCUCCUUCACCUUGUUCAACACCAAGGGGAAAAGAACCCACACGAUAAUGAUCCACCUUCAAGCUGUCUCCUCUCUCCAUCCUCAGUUAAAACCCUUUGCACAUAAGGCAACGCGGAAGCUGAUGUUUUUACUCAUCUCGCUGUUUUAAAGCACCAUUAUGAAGUCGGGUUGUACAGUAGUUAACAGUACCUUUUAUAUAUAUAUCUCAUAUCUAUCAUAUAUAUAUAAACUGUAAACAAGAGGUAACAGCGGCUUCUAGAAACUGAUUUUCUUCAAGGUUUCCUGUGUGGUAGGCACCUGAAAUACUGUAUAAAAGGGUCUUGUGUGAUGUUCUCGUCUCCCUGCUGCUAGCUGGGUUCUGUUCUGCAUGACCAGGAAUGGUGCUGGCAAGACAGCUCAGUGGCUGGGAGGGAAUACUGCCCCCUGAGUGUCUCUAUUUUCCGUCCCCUGCUUGUGCUCCUAUCUGAUCAGGCUAGAGACAACAACAAAAAAGAUAUAUAGUAAAAAAAAAAAAAAAAAAAAAAAAAAAAAAUCCAAUAUAUAGAUUUCUAUAGAAUUUCCUUUUUUCCUCUCUUCCAUCUUUCCUCUGCAAGGUAUUGUUACUAUUUUUUGUUACCAAUUUUUGCUGCAAUAAACCCUCUUGUUUCAGUCACAGCAAGAAACAAAAACCCAAACAAACAGAAAACCCCUCUGAAAAGAGUAGAAAACAAAAUGUUUAACCAAAAAAAAACGGGGGGGGAGCUUGGAUUUGUUUUUAAAUAGGACUGAAGAUUAACAUUGAAAAAUUAGGAGAUGACAUCCAACCCUUUUGCAAGGCAAAGCCCUCCGGUAUUUCCG